ACUACCAGAUAAAAUUGAAUCUAUGGGGUCACACAACAAAGAGAUUAGAAUUGGAAUUAGCAAUUAAGCUUAUGAAGUGUCAAUUGGAUUUAGAAAAAUUUGAUUGAAUUUAAGGUAAUCUUGCUAGCACAUGGUUGGAUCUAAUUUCUCUUUAUGUUUAGAUUUCUUAUUUGAUAAGAUAAUUCAAACUUAAUUACCUGCUAAUAAUCUAUAUGAAUUAGAUUCAUUGGACUCUAAUUGUUGGAUGUCUAAGAUUAUGGAUCA
rnacentral:lncRNA from 1 species